rnacentral:rRNA from 1 species
UUGUAUAAUGGGUCAGCGACUUAUAUUCUGUAGCAAGGUUAACCGUAUAGGGGAGCCGAAGGGAAACCGAGUCUUAACCGGGCGUUAAGUUGCAGGGUAUAGACCCGAAACCCGGUGAUCUAGCCAUGGGCAGGUUGAAGGUUGGGUAACACUAACUGGAGGACCGAACCGACUAAUGUUGAAAAAUUAGCGGAUGACCUGUGGCUGGGGGUGAAAGGCCAAUCAAACCGGGAGAUAGCUGGUUCUCCCCGAAAGCUAUUUAGGUAGCGCCUCGUGAAUUCAUCUCCGGGGGUAGAGCACUGUUUCGGCUAGGGGGCCAUCCCGGCUUACCAACCCGAUGCAAACUGCGAAUACCGGAGAAUGUUAUCACGGGAGACACACGGCGGGUGCUAACGUCCGUCGUGAAGAGGGAAACAACCCAGACCGCCAGCUAAGGUCCCAAAGUCAUGGUUAAGUGGGAAACGAUGUGGGAAGGCCCAGACAGCCAGGAUGUUGGCUUAGAAGCAGCCAUCAUUUAAAGAAAGCGUAAUAGCUCACUGGUCGAGUCGGCCUGCGCGGAAGAUGUAACGGGGCUAAACCAU